GACGAACGCUGGCGGCGUGCCUAAUACAUGCAAGUAGAACGCUGAAGGAAGGAGCUUGCUCUUUCCGGAUGAGUUGCGAACGGGUGAGUAACGCGUAGGUAACCUGCCUGGUAGCGGGGGAUAACUAUUGGAAACGAUAGCUAAUACCGCAUAACAGUAGAUAUCGCAUGAUAGCUUCUUAAAAGGUGCAAUUGCACCAC
rnacentral:rRNA from 1 species